rnacentral:rRNA from 1 species
AAACCAGCACCUCAAGUGGUCAGGAUGAUUAUUGGGCCUAAAGCAUCCGUAGCCUGCUCUGUAAGUUUUCGGUUAAAUCUGUACGCUCAACGUACAGGCUGCCGGGAAUACUGCAGAGCUAGGGAGUGGGAGAGGUAGACGGUACUCGGGAGGAAGUGGUAAAAUGCUUUGAUCUCUCGAUGACCACCUGUGGCGAAGGCGGUCUACCAGAACACGUCCGACGGUGAGGGAUGAAAGCUGGGGGAGCAAACCGGAGUAGAAACCCGAGUAGUCC